rnacentral:misc_RNA from 1 species
GAAAUGCGAUAAGUAAUGUGAAUUGCAGAAUUCAGUGAAUCAUCGAAUCUUUGAACGCACAUUGCGCCCGCCAGUAUUCUGGCGGGCAUGCCUGUUCGAGCGUCAUUUCAACCAUCAAGCCCCCGGGCUUGUGUUGGGGACCUGCGGCUGCCCGCAGGCCCUGAAAACCAGUGGCGGGCUCGCUAGUCACACCGAGCGUAGUAGCAAUCACCUCGCUCAGGGCGUGCUGCGGGUUCCGGCCGUUAAAGAGCCGUACAAACCCAAGGUUGACCUCGGAUCAGGUAGGAAGACCCGCUGAACUUAAGC